UGUUUCGGCUAGGGGGCCAUCCCGGCUUACCAACCCGAUGCAAACUGCGAAUACCGGAGAAUGUUAUCACGGGAGACACACGGCGGGUGCUAACGUCCGUCGUGAAGAGGGAAACAACCCAGACCGCCAGCUAAGGUCCCAAAGUCAUGGUUAAGUGGGAAACGAUGUGGGAAGGCCCAGACAGCCAGGAUGUUGGCUUAGAAGCAGCCAUCAUUUAAAGAAAGCGUAAUAGCUCACUGGUCGAGUCGGCCUGCGCGGAAGAUGUAACGGGGCUAAACCAUGCACCGAAGCUGCGGCAGCGACGCUGAUGCGUUGUUGGGUAGGGGAGCGUUCUGUAAGCCUGCGAAGGUGGCCUGUGAGGGUUGCUGGAGGUAUCAGAAGUGCGAAUGCUGACAUAAGUAACGAUAAAGCGGGUGAAAAGCCCGCUCGCCGGAAGACCAAGGGUUCCUGUCCAACGUUAAUCGGGGCAGGGUGAGUCGACCCCUAAGGCGAGGCCGAAAGGCGUAGUCGAUGGGAAACGGGUUAAUAUUCCCGUACUUGGUGUUACUGCGAAGGGGGGACGGAGAAGGCUAUGUUGGCCGGGCGACGGUUGUCCCGGUUUAAGCGUGUAGGUGUGUGUUCCAGGUAAAUCCGGUUCACUUUAACACUGAGGCGUGAUGACGAGGCACUACGGUGCUGAAGCAACAAAUGCCCUGCUUCCAGGAAAAGCCUCUAAGCAUCAGGUAACAUCAAAUCGUACCCCAAACCGACACAGGUGGUCAGGUAGAGAAUACCAAGGCGCUUGAGAGAACUCGGGUGAAGGAACUAGGCAAAAUGGUGCCGUAACUUCGGGAGAAGGCACGCUGACACGUAGGUGAAGUGAUUUACUCAUGGAGCUGAAGUCAGUCGAAGAUACCAGCUGGCUGCAACUGUUUAUUAAAAACACAGCACUGUGCAAACACGAAAGUGGACGUAUACGGUGUGACGCCUGCCCGGUGCCGGAAGGUUAAUUGAUGGGGUCAGCGCAAGCGAAGCUCCUGAUCGAAGCCCCGGUAAACGGCGGCCGUAACUAUAACGGUCCUAAGGUAGCGAAAUUCCUUGUCGGGUAAGUUCCGACCUGCACGAAUGGCGUAAUGAUGGCCAGGCUGUCUCCACCCGAGACUCAGUGAAAUUGAACUCGCUGUGAAGAUGCAGUGUACCCGCGGCAAGACGGAAAGACCCCGUGAACCUUUACUAUAGCUUGACACUGAACAUUGAGCCUUGAUGUGUAGGAUAGGUGGGAGGCUUUGAAGUGUGGACGCCAGUCUGCAUGGAGCCGACCUUGAAAUACCACCCUUUAAUGUUUGAUGUUCUAACGUGGACCCGUGAUCCGGGUUGCGGACAGUGUCUGGUGGGUAGUUUGACUGGGGCGGUCUCCUCCUAAAGAGUAACGGAGGAGCACGAAGGUUGGCUAAUCCUGGUCGGACAUCAGGAGGUUAGUGCAAUGGCAUAAGCCAGCUUGACUGCGAGCGUGACGGCGCGAGCAGGUGCGAAAGCAGGUCAUAGUGAUCCGGUGGUUCUGAAUGGAAGGGCCAUCGCUCAACGGAUAAAAGGUACUCCGGGGAUAACAGGCUGAUACCGCCCAAGAGUUCAUAUCGACGGCGGUGUUUGGCACCUCGAUGUCGGCUCAUCACAUCCUGGGGCUGAAGUAGGUCCCAAGGGUAUGGCUGUUCGCCAUUUAAAGUGGUACGCGAGCUGGGUUUAGAACGUCGUGAGACAGUUCGGUCCCUAUCUGCCGUGGGCGCUGGAGAACUGAGGGGGGCUGCUCCUAGUACGAGAGGACCGGAGUGGACGCAUCACUGGUGUUCGGGUUGUCAUGCCAAUGGCACUGCCCGGUAGCUAAAUGCGGAAGAGAUAAGUGCUGAAAGCAUCUAAGCACGAAA
rnacentral:rRNA from 1 species